rnacentral:lncRNA from 1 species
GGAUCAGGCUAAGGCCACAGUGCUCAUGGAGACAAAGCCAGAGAGAAGUGGAUUUCUGUCAUUAAAGCUGGGCAGCCUAGUCAAGGACAUAAGAAUCAAGUCCACGAAUGAGAUCUACCUAUUCUCCCUGCCCAUCAAAGAGUUGAGAUUAUUAACUUUUUUUCUGGACAAAUCCCUUAAGGAUGAGGGUCGAAAGAUUGGUCAUGCCAGUGCAGAAGCAGACUCAGGCUAGCCAGCAAAUCAGAUUCAAGAGUUUUGUUAACACUGGGGACUACAAUGUCAUGUUUGUCUGAGUAUUAACAGCCCCAAGAAGGUUGCCACUGGCAUUCCAGGGGCCAUCAUCAUUGGCCAAGCUCAUCAUUGUCCCUGUGCAGAGAGGCUACAGAGAAAACAAGAUUGGCAAGCCCCACACUAUUCCAUGUAAGGUGACAGGCUGUAAUGGCUCUGUGCUGGUGAGUCUCAUGUCUACCCCUAGACACACUAGCAUUGUCUCUGCUCCAGUGCCCAAGAAACUACUGCUCAUGGCUAGUAUUUAUGACUUCCACAUGUCACCAUGGCUUCACUGCUACCCUAGACAAUUUCACCAAGGCCAUCUCCAAGACCUACAGCAAUCUGACCCUUGACCUCAGGAAAGAAACCAAAUUCAUCAAAUCUCCCUAUCAGGAA